CAGCGCUCCCAGAGCCGAGCCCUGAACGCCCCAGACCGGGUCCGGGAAAGACUCGCCGCGCCGCGCCGCGCCCCGAAGGCGGGCUGAGCCCCUGCACCCCAGCUCCGGCCUCUGGAGCGAGAGCUCCUGCCCCGGACUCCGACUUCGGGCUGCCUUUUGGGGUGUCCUGUGCUGCCCUUUCCCGGGCGUCCGGUGUCCCUUGUUGGGGUCUCUGGGGAACGAAGAGGUCUAGCCUUGUUGCUUCGAAACCGGGGACCAAGGUGUCGGGGGGGGGUCAAAGCCCCAGCCUCGGCCAUUUCUUGGGGUUUGGUGCCUUGGAGACAGCCCACCUGGGCGCACACCCUUCUUCAAGCCGAGACCGCCCUUGGGGCGUUGGCACCUGCCGCCCCAAGUCCCCGCAUGGGAGUGGGACAGUUGAGUGGGGGGAGGAAGCACAGGCCGCCCCGCCUGGGACCCCACGGGGUUUGGAGGCAGCCUCAGACAUGCCUGUGUUGUCUUUUUGCUUUGAAGUUGGCUGGACUGGGGCGGAUAGAGAGAGGCCAGCCGUGUGGCGCCUGCGGUGACCAGUGCCCCGGGUUCGCCCUGCACAAAUGGAGUGUCAUCUUAUACCCUCUCCCUUGGAGUCUUCGGACGGUGGCAGCUAUGAUUCUCAUCAUCAGAUCACUGUGAUGGAAACUACUCUGGGAGUGUCUGACCACGGUGCAGCUCCUUCUCCGCCUGGCUCCUGGUCUAGACCUGUGGUUUCACCUUGGGAGAGGCAGCCUCAGAGGCAGCCAACACCUGCCCUGGCAAAGGCCCUGCGUCCGUCCGAUCAGACUUGGAGCAGUUUAUUCAGCGGUUAAGGUAGAGAACAAUAGCACAAUCGGCUAACAAGCAGAGGAGGCUAACAGGGUGUGUGGCAGCACACAAGGGCCAGCCCCGGAAGUGGCUGAGGAGCAUCCCAUGCCAGGCUGCCGCUGCAGGGGAAACAAAACAAGUAACAGGCCCAACAAAGGGGAGCAGCCACAGGGUUCAGAAUUGCUACACUGCGCUGUGUUCACUUUCCAACAAAAUAUUUUGAGACAUACAAAGAAACAGAUGCAGGGGGAGAAAAAAACAAC
rnacentral:lncRNA from 1 species